rnacentral:misc_RNA from 1 species
AACACUGUUAACCUGCGGUACCUGCGGAGGGAUCAUUACCGAGUGAGGGCCCUCCGGGUCCAACCUCCCACCCGUGUUUAACGAACCUUGUUGCUUCGGCGGGCCCGCCUCACGGCCGCCGGGGGGCACCCCGCCCCCGGGCCCGCGCCCGCCGAAGACACCUGUGAACGCUGUCUGAAGUUGCAGUCUGAGACACUAGCUCAAUCAGUUAAAACUUUCAACAAUGGAUCUCAGAUCGGA